AUUGAACGCUGGCGGCAGGCCUAACACAUGCAAGUCGAACGGUAACAGAAAGCAGCUUGCUGCUUUGCUGACGAGUGGCGGACGGGUGAGUAAUGUCUGGGAAACUGCCCGAUGGAGGGGGAUAACUAUUGGAAACGGUAGCUAAUACCCCAUAACGUCGCAAGACCAAAGAGGGGGACCUUCGGGACUCUUGCCAUCGGAUUUGCCCAGAUGGGAUUAGCUUGUUGGGGAGGUAACGGCUCACCAAGGCGACGAUCCCUAGCUGGUCUGAGAGGAUGACCAGCCACACUGGAACUGAGACACGGUCCAGACUCCUACGGGAGGCAGCAGUGGGGAAUAUUGCACAAUGGGCGCAAGCCUGAUGCAGCCAUGCCGCGUGUAUGAAGAAGGCCUUCGGGUUGUAAAGUACUUUCAGCGGGGAGGAAGGUGUUGUGGUUAAUAACCACAGCAAUUGACGUUACCCGCAGAAGAAGCACCGGCUAACUCCGUGCCAGCAGCCGCCGUAA
rnacentral:rRNA from 1 species